rnacentral:rRNA from 1 species
GCUGCUUACCACUUUGUGGUUCAUGACUGGGGUGAAGUCGUAACAAGGUAGCGCUAGGGGAACCUGGCGCUGGAUCACCUCCUUAAACGAUGAU